rnacentral:piRNA from 2 species
UGAGCACACUUGAGAUGUGGCCACAUUGC